rnacentral:rRNA from 1 species
UAAUAUAUUAUUUUACGAUGUGGUAUUAAUCCCUAAAUAAAACAAGAACAAUCAUAAAACUUUAGAAGAAAAUUAACUGAAGACUUAUAAAACUAAUAAUUUAAGCAGAUAUGCAAAUUAAUUUUGAAAUUGAAACAUCUUAACACUGAUAAAAAAUGUUGAAAGUAAUGGCGAAUGAAAUCAAUAAACCUUAAAAGUUUGAACAUCUUUUAUGUUGGUUUAACUAAGUUUACUUGUAAAGAGAGUAUCGUGAGAGAAAUUUUAAAAUAGGGAGGAUGUAAGAAUGAGAGACAUUUUCCUUUUGUAUGAUGAACCUACAAGAAUAAUCACUAGCAAGAUAAAAAUCUAAGUGAAGACAAAUUAGUUAGUAAAACCCGAAACCAAGUGAUCUAAUUAUGAGCAGCGUGUAGCGCAAACCAGUAACUGUUGAAAAAUUUUUGGGAGACUUGUAAUUAGCAGCGAAAAACUAACCGAACUUGGCUAUAGCUGGUUUUUCUCGAAAAUUAUAUUAGUAACUUCCUCUAACUGAGGAAUCAAAGGGUUAACUCUAACGUUAACUCUUAAAUGGGAAACAACCCAUCCAAAAGGAUAAUGUAUUUAAUAAAGUCUUAUUAAAUUAAAUUCUUGUUUAGACAUUAAGAAAAUAAGCUUGGAAACAGCUACCUUAUUAAGAAAACGUAAUAGUUCACUUAUUAAAUAAGAUAUUUCUAAGAUAUAAUUAUAACUUUUAACAAAGUCCAUUGAGUAAAUUGGUAGAGAAGUAUAUUAUAGAAUAAAAAAAACUUAUAUAUUAGAAACAAUGUAGGUAUGAUUAAGAUCAGGUUAUUUCUAAGGUUUCUUGCUUUAAUAUUAGUAAGGUUAUACAAUACCUCACCAAGAGAGGGUAAAUAUUAACUUAUUACGAGAAAAUUUAAUAGGAACGAAUUGUACUUAACUAAAUCAAGUAGAAAUAAAUAAAGACUCAAUUGUCGCUAAGGAACUCGGCAACCUGAAAAUCGACUGUUUACCAAAAACAUAGCCCUUAGAUACUAUUAAAGGUGCGACCUGCCCUAUGGUCUUACUAUCUCAUGUAAUCAAGAGUGGAACGAAGACUAAAUGGCCGCGGUAACUCUGACCGUGAUAAUGUAGCGAAAUCAAUUGUCGUUUAAUUGACGACCAGUAUGAAUGGUUAAACGAAUUUUCCCCUGUCUCAGCGAUAAGUUCAAUGAAUUUAAAAUAAUAGUGAAGAUGCUAUUUAACAAUUGUAAGACGAGAAGACCCUAUAGAGCUUAACUAUAAUCUUUAAUCCUAUAACGAUAGUUUAUUUGUUAUAUUUAAAGACUGGUAGUUUGGUUGGGGCGACCAUCUUCUAUAAGUAACGAAGAUAAACAAUGAUACGUAAAAAUGAAUUAUUUAACUGUGUAACUUAUAUGUUUAACAGAUAUUAAAAUAGGUAAAUUGACCCGUUUAUUUUGAAUAAGGAAAAUAACGAUCAAUAAAUAAAAGCUACCUUAGGGAUAACAGCGUAAUCUUAUUUAAGAGUUCUUAUCGACAAUAAGGUUUGCGACCUCGAUGUUGAAUUGCGAUAACCUGAGGGUGCAGCAGCUCUCAAAGGUUGGUCUGUUCGACCAUUAAAAU